rnacentral:rRNA from 1 species
GAUGAACGCUGGCGGCGUGCCUAAUACAUGCAAGUCGAGCGAACAGACGAGGAGCUUGCUCCUCUGACGUUAGUGGCGGACGGGUGAGUAACACGUGGAUAACCUACCUAUAAGACUGGGAUAACUUCGGGAAACCGGAGCUAAUACCGGAUAAUAUAUUGAACCGCAUGGUUCAAUAGUGAAAGACGGUUUUGCUGUCACUUAUAGAUGGAUCCGCGCCGCAUUAGCUAGUUGGUAAGGUAACGGCUUACCAAGGCAACGAUGCGUAGCCGACCUGAGAGGGUGAUCGGCCACACUGGAACUGAGACACGGUCCAGACUCCUACGGGAGGCAGCAGUAGGGAAUCUUCCGCAAUGGGCAAAAGCCUGACGGAGCAACGCCGCGUGAGUGAUGAAGGUCUUCGGAUCGUAAAACUCUGUUAUUAGGGAAGAACAAAUGUGUAAGUAACUAUGCACGUCUUGACGGUACCUAAUCAGAAAGCCACGGCUAACUACGUG